rnacentral:rRNA from 1 species
AUGGUGGGCCCUUUCAAGAGAGCCCGCGGCGGCUUGACGCAUCUACUUGUCGAUGUGGACAAGUUCACAAAGUGGAUCGAAGCAAAGCCGAUCAAGAAGCUGAACGGGCCGACUGCCGUGACAUUCAUCACUGACAUCACUACUCGGUACGGCGUGCCGCACAGCAUCAUCACCGACAACGGCACGAACUUCUCCAAUGGAGCACUGGCACGUUUCUGCGCGACGCAGGGCAUCCGACUGGACUUAGCGUCUGUUGCCCACCCGCAGUCAAACGGCCAGGUCGAGCGAGCAAAUGGACUCAUCCUCUCCGGCAUCAAGCCCCGACUGGUUGUACCACUGGAGCGAUCGGCCGGCUGCUGGCUUGAUGAGCUGCCGGCUGUCCUCUGGAGUCUGCGCACUACACCCAACAAGUCAACCGGCUUUACUCCAUUCUUCCUUGUAUAUGGUGCCGAGGCUGUCAUCCCAACAGACAUCGAGUUCGACUCGCCUCGGGUCACCAUGUACACGGAGGCGGAGGCCAAGGAAGCAAGAGAAGACGGCGUCGACCUACUGGAAGAAGGCCGGCUGUUAGCACUCAGCCGGUCCGCCAUCUACCAGCAAGGGCUGCGCUGCUACCACAACCGUAAGGUCAAGCCAAGAUCCUUCCAAGAGGGCGACCUUGUGCUCCGGCUGAUCCAGCGAACAGCCAGCCAGCACAAGCUCUCGGCCCCUUGGGAAGGCCCCUUCGUCAUCAGCAAGGCACUAGGCAACGACUCCUACUACCUGAUCGACGCGCAAAAACCAAGAGCACGCAAGAGAGACAACUCCGGCAAGGAGUCGGAGCGACCAUGGAACGCAAACCUCCUGAGAAGAUUUUACAGUUGA